UACGUAGGGGGCUAGCGUUGUCCGGAUUUAUUGGGCGUAAAGAGCUCGUAGGUGGUUCGGUAAGUCGGAUGUGAAAUCUCCAGGCUCAACCUGGAGGGGUCAUUCGAUACUGCCGUGACUAGAGUUCGGUAGAGGAGUGUGGAAUUCCUGGUGGAGCGGUGAAAUGCGCAGAGAUCGGGAGGAACAUCCGUGGCGAAGGCGACUACCUGGACCAGCACUGACACUGAGGCACGAAAGCGUGGGGAGCAAACAGG
rnacentral:rRNA from 1 species